rnacentral:rRNA from 1 species
CUCACUGGUCGAGUCGGCCUGCGCGGAAGAUGUAACGGGGCUAAACCAUGCACCGAAGCUGCGGCAGCGAACGUAUCACUUAAAGCGAUUCAGCGGGUUACGAUUGACGGAGCGAAGCGACGUCAAAGCGUAUACAAAGUCGAGUCGGUUUAAGGAUACGUUCGUUGGGUAGGGGAGCGUUCUGUAAGCCUGUGAAGGUGGCCUGUGAGGGUUGCUGGAGGUAUCAGAAGUG